rnacentral:lncRNA from 1 species
CUGACCACGAAGAGAGAGAGAGAGAGAGUGCAGCAAGCAACAGUGAUAGGGUAAGAAGAUGGGAGGAAGAAGAAGGGGCAGCUUAACUCUUAAGCUGGGGAUUAGGAGGGACAGGCCAUGAUUAUGGCUAAAAUAAACACAAGAUUAUGGGCCCUAAUUAACCCAUAAUGAAAAAGGAUUAGUGCCUUUCUCACUCCUCUCUGCUCUUCCCAAAGAGGGAGGAAAAGGCAAGAGUGGUUGAGGAGGAUUAUUAUUAAGGGAAGGUUAGUGCACACUAGUGUGUGUGAUCAGAGGAGGGGCUAAAUAGUUUAUGGGAGUGAUUAACUAGUGGGUGUUGAUGGAUGGAUG